rnacentral:snRNA from 9 species
AUACUUACUUGGGUGGGUUUGAUAGAUGAUCAAGAGGGUAAUGGCCUAGGAAGGCCACCUCCAUUGCACUUGGGAGGGGGAUCUACCUGGCAUCUCCCAGUGAAGAGA